UACGGGGGGGGCAAGCGUUGUUCGGAAUUACUGGGCGUAAAGGGCUUGUAGGCGGCCAACUAAGUCAUACGUGAAAUCCCUCGGCUUAACCGGGGAACUGCGUCUGAUACUGGAUGGCUUGAGAUUGGGAGAGGGAUGCGGAAUUCCAGGUGUAGCGGUGAAAUGCGCAGAUAUCAGGAGGAACACCGGUGGCGAAGGCGGGUCUCUGGGCCGAAAUUGACGCUGAGGAGCGAAAGCGUGGGGAGCAAACAGG
rnacentral:rRNA from 1 species